rnacentral:rRNA from 1 species
AAUGAACGCUGGCGGCAUGCCUAACACAUGCAAGUCGAACGAGAUCUUCGGAUCUAGUGGCGCACGGGUGAGUAACGCGUGGGAACCUACCUUUUAGUACGGGACAACGUUUGGAAACGGACGCUAAUACCGUAUACGCCCUCCGGGGGAAAGGUCAGCCGCUAAAAGAGGGGCCCGCGUCUGAUUAGCUUGUUGGUAAGGUAAUGGCUUACCAAGGCUACGAUCAGUAGCUGGUCUGAGAGGAUGAUCAGCCACACUGGGACUGAGACACGGCCCAG